rnacentral:rRNA from 1 species
GGCUCAGAUUGAACGCUGGCGGCAUGCCUUACACAUGCAAGUCGAACGGCAGCACGGGUGCUUGCACCUGGUGGCGAGUGGCGAACGGGUGAGUAAUACAUCGGAACGUACCUUAUCGUGGGGGAUAACGCAGCGAAAGCUGUGCUAAUACCGCAUACGCCCUGAGGGGGAAAGCGGGGGAUCGAAAGACCUCGCGCGAUUAGAGCGGCCGAUGCCUGAUUAGCUUGUUGGUGGGGUAAAAGCCCACCAAGGCGACGAUCAGUAGCUGGUCUGAGAGGACGAUCAGCCACACUGGGACUGAGACACGGCCCAGACUCCUACGGGAGGCAGCAGUGGGGAAUUUUGGACAAUGGGGGAAACCCUGAUCCAGCAAUGCCGCGUGAGUGAAGAAGGCCUUCGGGUUGUAAAGCUCUUUUGUCAGGGAAGAAACACCGGCUCUAACACAGUCCGGGAAUGACGGUACCUGAGGAAUAAGCACCGGCUAACUACGUG